rnacentral:rRNA from 1 species
AACGAACGCUGGCGGCAGGCUUAACACAUGCAAGUCGAACGCCCCGCAAGGGGAGUGGCAGACGGGUGAGUAACGCGUGGGAACAUACCCUUUCCUGCGGAAUAGCUCCGGGAAACUGGAAUUAAUACCGCAUACGCCCUACGGGGGAAAGAUUUAUCGGGGAAGGAUUGGCCCGCGUUGGAUUAGCUAGUUGGUGGGGUAAAGGCCUACCAAGGCGACGAUCCACAGCUGGUCUGAGAGGAUGAUCAGCCACAUUGGGACUGAGACACGGCCCAAACUCCUACGGGAGGCAGCAGUGGGGAAUAUUGGACAAUGGGCGCAAGCCUGAUCCAGCCAUGCCGCGUGAGUGAUGAAGGCCUUAGGGUUGUAAAGCUCUUUCACCGGUGAAGAUAAUGACGGUAUCCGGAGAAGAAGCCCCGGCUAACUUCGUGCCAGCCGCCGCGGUAAUAC